ACCAGCAUAGUUUUAAGUGGGAAAACGGCGGUCUCCAAAACCGUAGUUCUAAGUUCGAACCUUAGUGCUGGUG
rnacentral:tRNA from 1 species